rnacentral:misc_RNA from 1 species
CCAAUAGCGUAUAUUAAAGUUGUUGCAGUUAAAAAGCUCGUAGUUGAAUUUCGGGAUUGACGUGACGGUCAUGCCUUAAGGGGUAUGAACUGUUACUGUUGAUUUCUCACCUUCUGGAGAAACUUGAUGUCCUUUAUUGGGUGUCUUGCGGAUCCAGGACCUUUACCUUGAAAAAAUUAGAGUGUUUAAAGCAGGCAUUUUUGCUCGAAUACAUUAGCAUGGAAUAAUAGAAUAGGACGGCAUGGUUCUAUUUUGUUGGUUUCUAGGAUCACCGUAAUGAUUAAUAGGGAUAGUUGGGGGCAUUAGUAUUCAAUUGUCAGAGGUGAAAUUCUUGGAUUUAUUGAAGACUAACUACUGCGAAAGCAUUUGCCAAGGAUGUUUUCAUUAAUCAAGAACGAAAGUUAGAGGUUCGAAGGCGAUCAGAUACCGCCCUAGUUCUAACCAUAAACGAUGCCAACCGGCGAUCCGUCGUCGUUAAUUGAAUGACUCGACGGGCAGCCUCCG